GAGAGCCCAGAGACUGGCGGCCGAGACCGCGGAGUGGACGAGGAUGGCCAUCCCGGAGGAGAGGGCCCCGUCCCGGCGGAGACCCCGCAGCUGGUCAUCAGCGGCACCUUCUCGCUGGCUGGCCCGGCCGGCGGUGCGGGGCAGGUGGAGCAGGCCUCGCGGCGGCAGCGAGGCGGGAAGGCGCGGCUCACGUACAAGUGCGGGGAGUGCGGCAAGAGUUUCCGGGCCGAGGCGGACCUGCGGAAGCACCUGGCGGGGCACUCCAAGGCGGGGCGGCACGCGUGCGGAGUGUGCGGCAAGCUGUGGACUAAAGCUUCUGAUCUG